GAGGAAUGUAUAGCAAUAGCUAGUUGCAUCAUAGUAGAUAUGAUGCAAGAUCGACUAUGUUGAAUAAAAUUCUAGGUAGAAUUAUGAUAAUGACAUUGUCUGCCUAUGUGUCUUGACCAAAUUACGUGCCAGCAGUCGCGGUAAUACGUAGAAGACUAGUGUUAUUCAUGUUUAAUCGGUUUAAAGGGUACCUAGACGGUAGAUCAAGCUUUCUAAUAAAGGAAAAGGACUAGUUUACUAGAGUUACUUAUGAGGGGGUAUUAAAGUACUGCUGGUGUAGAGAUGAAAUUCUGUCAUACCUCUUUUCAAAAGAAAAACCAUGGCACAGGUAUAGGCGAAGGCAUCCCCUUAUGUGAUAACUGACGUUGAGGGACGAAGGCUUUGUGUAGCGAACAGGAUUAGAUACCCCAGUAGUCGAAGCAGAAAAUGAUGAAUGUCAUAGAUUAGAUAUAUAAGUUUAUUCUAUAAAUGAAAGUGUAAGCAUUCCACCUCAUGAGUAAUUUGGCAACAUUGGAACUGAAAUCAUUAGACCGUUUCUGAAACCAGUAGUGAAGUAUGUUGUUUAAUUUGAUGUCCCGCAAAAAACCUUACCACAAUUUGAAUAUUUAUAUUGUUUAUUGUUUUAUUAUUAAUUUUCUUGAAGAAAAUUAAGAAACAAGCAAUAAGAUAUAAUUACAAGCGUUGCACGGCUGUCUUCAGUUAAUGUCGCGAGACUUUGGUUAGUUCCAUUAAAUUAACGUAAACCCUUACUUUAUUUUUAUAUAGAGUAGUUCCCCGCUAUAUUGGAUAU
rnacentral:rRNA from 1 species